UUCUUCUGCUGUGAUCUGAAAUAUUUGCUAAGGAACACAUAUAGUACAUAUAGCAACAGGAUUGGCUGGACUACAGAACGGGAAGAGACUGAAGAGAUAAAAAUAGGUGACUCUGCUGGAGAGAUGCAGAUGAAGCAGGAUCCAGCAGGACAGAAGCUACGGCCUUCCUCUCUUGCAUGUGCUUCCCACGGAGUUCUUGUGCUCUUCUUUCUCAAUUCCACCACAGUCGUCAGAAACACCCAUCUUUUCUGACAUUUCAUCAAGGUCUGUCCCUUCAAGAGGGACAUUUAUAUCAGAGAAGUUCAACCAAAAGGUAACACAGCCAGAAGGAAACAAAGUGACAUUGAUCUGGAUGCGACUUUGGGGACAUGAUGUCCAAAGCACGGGCAACAAAUGCAAAACUAGACAAAUGUAAGUGUCAAAAUUGAAAACAAAGAAACAAUCAAUGGAAUGAAAGAUGUCUAACCUAUAAUAUUGGAAAAAUGUCUGACUAAGAUAUGCCUCCUAAGAGGUUAUUACAUAAAAGAUAAAUAAUACAGUCACAAAAUACAUAAAAUACAUAAAAGAUAAAUUAUGCAGUAACAAAAUUUAAGAUGAUUAGAAAUUGCAAAAGAUAUAAAUAUACACUUUUCAAAAUAAUAUAAACAGCCAGUGAUAUUUGAAAAUGUCCUAAGUAUCAGGCAAUCAUUAGAAAGACAUAUAAAAAAUAUAAAAGAAAUUCAAUGUGAUGUCAUCUCAUAUCAAUUAGAAUGGUGGCUGACAACAAGAGAAGAAUUAACAAGAAGUGUGAAGAGAAAUGAGCCCCUGCGAGCCCUUGUACACUGUCAGUGGGUGUCUGCAUUACUGACACCAUGACUGAAAACAGUGCAGAGGCUCCACCAAAAACUUAAGAAGAGAACUAACAUAUGGUCCAGAAACUCCACUUAUGAGUAUAUCUGAAGAAUAAGAAAGUGUAAUGUUGAUGAUUUGAUACCCAAGAUUCAAAAUCAACUGUGUACCCACCAAUAGAUGAACAGAUAUGGACAGAACAGCUCAUGUGACUGCUAAUAGGCAGAGAGUAGAGGGGAUGCAGAGAUGCUGGUCAGACUGACAGUUGAGAUGAGCAGGUUUCUAGGAAUCUGGUGUGUGGCAGGGUUGUGUUAGAGGUAGAUUUGUGUGAUCGUGAUCCAUACAGAAUAGCACCUGCCAACUCACUGCUUCAUGUGUCUUGAAUAUGCAUAACUGCUCUUGAUAAUUAAAUAUCUUGAAGUGCAACAAGCCACUGUUGGGCUACACCAGUGCCAGAGCAAGCCCCCUAAACCUUUGCUAAGAGCAAGCUAAAUGAACUGGCAUGCUUCAAUGAGAAAGUUAUCUUUGAAAACAAGCUUUUCCUGUUGUGUGUGUAUCACAGCAUGCUAGCGAAUUGUCACCGGCGGGCCCAGAGCUUGUCCACUCCAAGCAUACACUCCAUUGCUGCAAAUUUCCAUUGUUUCUGUCUUCCUUACAUUUUUUAGCCACAAGGUAUAUGAAUGCAGAAAUUCUAGAAGCAAAAAGCUGACUUCAGAGAAAAGGUGGGAAAAGUCAGAACCAAUGUACAGAGAAAUAAAUCAGUCAUUGCUAGUUCACUCACUCAACAAGAUGUUCCAUCUGAAACAUAUAUUCUCACUGCAACAAAUGUUAAUGAGGAUGGCAACAAGGAACACAGUCACAUCGACAAUGAUAAAGACAGCAGGGCUCUUGUAGGAGUCAUUAAUCUAAGCUUUUCACAUCUAUUAACUCUCACAGAAGCACUCAACCCUCCCAGCGAGGGUGGACAUCAUUCUGAUAUCCACCCUGUAAAUGCAGAGUCUGAGCUUUAAGGAGUUUACAGGUUUUUUGCGGAGAAAUAGACAAAACUCAUGCACAGGCUAUACAGUAGUGUUGCUCAUCUUUGCCCCAUGGACUUUCAAAGUCCAAUUUUGUAAAGCUGUCAUUUAAAAUAGCAUCUGAGAGCCGCUCCUGAAGUCACCUUUCCUGACCUCACUGAAAUGCAAAGGCAUGGGAAAUAAGAAACCAUAGCCCUGCUGUGAUCUCCCAAUUCAAAGCAGAAACAGAAAUGAAAGUGUGAAAAACAUGUUGAUCUCCACAAGCAACUAGAAAAUGUAAAUUAAGAUAAGAUAACAGUUGUCUCAGUGUCUGUAGGGAAAUAGUUCCAAAGUCCACCAGAGACACUGACGUCCAAGUCUUUCAUAUAAAAGGAUGUGACAUUUUCAUAAACCUGUGCAUAACCUCCUUUGUACAUGAGUCAUGCCUGUACUAUUCACAGAACCCAAUAUAAAACAAUGUUAAGUUUGCUGUUUAAAUGGUAUAGCUUAAUGUAAAGCACACUGAUUAGGUGGUACAGCUAUUGUGUCUGAGUUGGAAAUGUUACCCCCAGAGGAAGUCUCAAAAAAAGAAACUUAUAUGGAUCAAGAUCAUAAAACUUCUGGCUUUUGGUCAUGGUGUUCAUCACAAGCUCAGGAAACUCAGAAAGUAAAAAUACUCACCAAGGCUCACCUCUGGGCUAAACAAGCAGUAAAUAGUUGCUGAGAGAGAGUCUCUUUUGUGAAGCUGCCUGAAAAUUGAGCAGAGAGCUUCAGGUCUGUAGCUUUCCUGAGUUUUCACUCAUGCUAGGUUGUGUGCUGGUUAGCUUUUAUUGCCAACUUUCCACAAGCCCAGAGUCACCUUGGAAAAGAGACCCUCUCAGCUGAAGGAUUAUCUCAAUCAGAUUGUCCUAUAUUCACAUCUAUAAGAGAUUUCCUUAACUGAUGACUGAUUUAAGAGGGCCUGCCAACUAUGGGUGGCACUAUCCCUAGACAGGUAAGCCUGGGCUGAAUAAAAAAAGCUAUUUAGAUAUGAGCCAGGAAGAAACCCAGUAGAGAACACUCGUCCAUGGUCUCUGCUUCAAGUUCCUGCCCUGCUGUAGUCUCUGCUCUGCCAUGUCUCAAUGGUGGACUAUAACAUGAAAAAUAAAAUAAACCCUUUCCUCCCCAAA